rnacentral:sRNA from 1 species
UAAGAAAUGCCCAGGUGUCAAUACGUCU